GACGAACGCUGGCGGCGUGCCUAACACAUGCAAGUCGAACGUGAAGCCGGUGCUUGCACCGGUGGAAAGUGGCGAACGGGUGAGUAACACGUGAGAAACCUGCCCCGGAGACCGGGACAACCAUUGGAAACGAUGGCUAAUACCGGACUACCCCCGGUUGGUCGCAUGACCAGCCGAGGAAAGGCUCUGGCGCUCUGGGAGGGUCUCGCGGCCUAUCAGUUAGUUGGUGGGUAACGGCCUACCAAGACAUCGACGGGUAGCUGGUCUGAGAGGACGAUCAGCCACAUUGGGACUGAGACACGGCCCAGACUCCUACGGGAGGCAGCAGUGGGGAAUAUUGCGCAAUGGGCGAAAGCCUGACGCAGCAACGCCGCGUGAGGGAUGACGGCUUUCGGGUUGUAAACCUCUUUCAGUGAUGACGAAAAUGACGGUAGUCACAGAAGAAGGUCCGGCCAACUACGUG
rnacentral:rRNA from 1 species